UACGGCGGGGGCAAGCGUUAUUCGGAAUUAUUGGGCGUAAAGGGCGCGUAGGCGGCUAGAUGUGUCAAAGGUGAAAUCCCUCGGCUCAACUGAGGAACUGCCUUUGAAACUGUCUGGCUUGAGGCCGGGAGAGGGUAGCGGAAUUCCCAGUGUAGCGGUGAAAUGCGUAGAUAUUGGGAGGAACACCAGUGGCGAAGGCGGCUACCUGGACCGGUUCUGACGCUGAGGCGCGAAAGCGUGGGUAGCAAACAGG
rnacentral:rRNA from 1 species